GUUCGAAAGGGAAACAGCCCAGACCACCAGCUAAGGUCCCAAAAUAUAUGUUAAGUGGAAAAGGAUGUGGCGUUGCCCAGACAACUAGGAUGUUGGCUUAGAAGCAGCCAUCAUUUAAAGAGUGCGUAAUAGCUCACUAGUCGAGUGACACUGCGCCGAAAAUGUACCGGGGCUAAACAUAUUACCGAAGCUGUGGAUUGUCCUUUGGACAAUGGUAGGAGAGCGUUCUAAGGGCGUUGAAGCAUGAUCGUAAGGACAUGUGGAGCGCUUAGAAGUGAGAAUGCCGGUGUGAGUAGCGAAAGACGGGUGAGAAUCCCGUCCACCGAUUGACUAAGGUUUCCAGAGGAAGGCUCGUCCGCUCUGGGUUAGUCGGGUCCUAAGCUGAGGCCGACAGGCGUAGGCGAUGGAUAACAGGUUGAUAUUCCUGUACCACCUAUAAUCGUUUUAAUCGAUGGGG
rnacentral:rRNA from 1 species